CACAAGCGGUGGAGCAUGUGGUUUUAAUUCGACGCAACGCGAAGAACCUUACCAGGGCUUGACAUCCCCUGACCGCGUAUGAAAGUACGUUUUCACCCUCGGGUGACAGGGAGACAGGUGGUGCAUGGUUGUCGUCAGCUCGUGUCGUGAGAUGUUGGGUUAAGUCCCGCAACGAGCGCAACCCCUAUCUCUAGUUGCCAGCGAUUCGGUCGGGGACUCUAGAGAUACUGCCCCGGUUAACGGGAGGAAGGUGGGGAUGACGUCAAGUCCUCAUGGCCCUUAUGCCCAGGGCUACACACGUGCUACAAUGGGCGGUACAAAGGGUAGCGAUGCCGCGAGGCGAAGCCAAUCCCAAAAAGCCGUCCUCAGUUCGGAUUGGAGUCUGCAACUCGACUCCAUGAAGCCGGAAUCGCUAGUAAUCGCGGAUCAGCAUGCCCGCGGUCCGAAUACGUUCCGGCCUU
rnacentral:rRNA from 1 species